rnacentral:piRNA from 1 species
UCGGAGUUGAAAGGCAGCCAGGUUCACA